AGCUCCAGUAGCGUAUAUUAAAGUUGUUGCAGUUAAAAAGCUCGUAGUUGGAUCUCGGGUUGUCGGCAGUGGUUCAGGUUCAUGCCUGCUUACUGCUGCCGAUACCUAACCGGUGGGACGCUGUGGGUGCCCUUAACUGGGUCGCCUAUUGCACCCGCUCAAUUUACUUUGAAAAAAUUAGAGUGUUCAAGGCAGGCUCACACGCCUGAAUAAUGGUGCAUGGAAUAAUGGAAUAGGAUCUCGGUUCUAUUUUGUGGGUUUUCGGAACUUGAGAUAAUGAUUAAGAGGGACAGACGGGGGCAUUCGUAUUGCGGUGUUAGAGGUGAAAUUCUUGGAUCGCCGCAAGACGAACUACUGCGAAAGCAUUUGCCAAGAAUGUUUUCA
rnacentral:rRNA from 1 species